rnacentral:rRNA from 1 species
CCUACGGGAGGCAGCAGUGAGGAAUAUUGGUCAAUGGACGCAAGUCUGAACCAGCCAAGUCGCGUGCAGGAUGACUGCCCUAUGAGUUGUAAACUUCUUUUGUACGAGGGUCAAGUCAGACACGUGUAUCUGUUUGAAAGUAUUUUAUGAAUAAGGAUCGGCUAACUCCGUGCCAGCAGCCGCGGUAAUACGGAGGAUUCAAGCGUUAUCCGGAUUUAUUGGGUUUAAAGGGUGCGUAGACGGUUGGAUAAGUCAGUGGUGAAAUUCUGCGGCUCAACCUCAGAAUUGCCAUUGAUACUGGCAGGCUUGAGUGUAGUUGAGGUAGGCGGAAUGUGUGGUGUAGCGGUGAAAUGCUUAGAUAUCAUAAAGAACUCCGAUUGCGAAGGCAGCUUACUAAGCUGCUUCUGACGUUGAGGCACGAAAGCGUGGGGAGCAAACAGGAUUAGAUACCCGGGUAGUC